rnacentral:rRNA from 1 species
UACGGAGGGUGCAAGCGUUAUCCGGAUUCACUGGGUUUAAAGGGUGCGUAGGUGGGUAGGUAAGUCAGUGGUGAAAUCUCCAAGCUUAACUUGGAACUGCCGUUGAUACUAUUUAUCUUGAAUAUAGUGGAGGUGAGCGGAAUAUGUCAUGUAGCGGUGAAAUGCUUAGAUAUGACAUAGAACAUCGAUUGCGAAGGCAGCUCGCUACACUAUUAUUGACACUGAGGCACGGAAAGCGUGGGGAUCAAACAGG